rnacentral:rRNA from 1 species
GGGCGAAAGCCUGACGGAGCAAUACCGCGUGAGGGAUGACGGCCUAUGGGUUGUAAACCUCUUUUUUCAGGGAGGAAUCAAAUGACGUGUACCUGAAGAAUAAGCAUCGGCUAACUCCGUGCCAGCAGCCGCGGUAAGACGGAGGAUGCAAGUGUUAUCCGGAAUCACUGGGCGUAAAGCGUCUGUAGGUGGUCCAAUAAGUCAACUGUUAAAUCUUGAGGCUCAACCUCAAAACCGCAGUCGAAACUAUUAGACUAGAGUAUAGUAGGGGUAAAGGGAAUUUCCAGUGGAGCGGUGAAAUGCGUAGAGAUUGGGAAGAACACCGGUGGCGAAAGCGCUCUGCUGGGCCGCAACUGACACUGAGGGACGAAAGCUAGGGGAGCGAAUGGGAUUAGAUACCCCAGUAGUC